GGCGAUGUGGCCGAGUGGUCUAAGGCGCAGGAUUAAGGCUCCUGUCCGCAAGGGCGUAGGUUCGAACCCUACCAUCGUCA
rfam:Chlamydomonas reinhardtii strain CC-503 cw92 mt+ CHLREscaffold_35 genomic scaffold, whole genome shotgun sequence.